AUUGGGUCUAAAGGGUCCGUAGCCGGUUGGUCAGUCCUCCGGGAAAUCUGAUAGCUCAACUAUUAGGGCUUUCGGGGGAUACUGCCAGACUUGGAACCGGGAGAGGUAAGAGGUACUACAGGGGUAGGAGUGAAAUCUUGUAAUCCCUGUGGGACCACCUGUGGCGAAGGCGUCUUACCAGAACGGGUUCGACGGUGAGGGACGAAAGCUGGGGGCACGAACCGGAUUAGAUACCCGGGUAGUCCCAGCCGUAAACGAUGCUCGCUAGGUGUCAGGCAUGGCGCGACCGUGUCUGGUGCCGCAGGGAAGCCGUGAAGCGAGCCACCUGGGAAGUACGGCCGCAAGGCUGAAACUUAAAGGAAUUGGCGGGGGAGCACAACAACGGGUGGAGCCCUGCGGUUUAAUUGGACUCAACGCCGGACAACUCACCGGGGGGCGACAGCAAUAUGUAGGCCAAGCUGAAGACUUUGCCUGAAUCGCUGAGAAGAGGUGCAUGG
rnacentral:rRNA from 1 species